UCUAGUGAACAACAGACCUAGCACCUUCAGUAGCUCUUUGUGUUUUAUCUCACAGGUCUCCCCAACACUGUAAAUGUCCUGAAAUGGAGGGUCGUCCUCGAUGACGUCAAUGCAGAGAGGCUUAUUUUGCCCUACCCUCCUGAGACUGUAAAUGAGCUCUACAGUGAAUUCCACAGAAUCACCAAUCAAUAUCUACCAUUGCCCUUCUAAACUGCACUGCACUUGACAAAUAUGCACCUCAGCUGCUGAAACUUUACAAGAAGAGGAAGACUGGAGGUGUUGGUGAGAAGAUGGAAGAUGUUUUGAUGGCAUAGGAGGAACAUAUGCAUUACAUUGCUGUUGAAUGUGAGGAGUAGAGCCUAACACCCCCCUGUGCAAACAGGACAAAAACAAGACUCCAGCCCUGGCUGCUGUAUUCAAAGGAGGAUUCAACUGUUUCAACAAAGGUCUUUGUCUAUUCUCCCUUUCCCAUAUCCAUAUACACUGGUAACAAAUUAUCCAGGUUAUUACCUCAUUAUUUUGGAAUUUAAGCUGCAUUUCAUGUUUUGUUUUGUAAAUAAUGGUUACGUUAAAGAAAUAACCUAUUUCUAAUUUGGUCACAAGGUGGCAGCAGAGGUGCAUCAGUACACUCUGUUUAAGGUCUGAGAGAAGGAGGGAGACGUCAUCCCACUCGUAUAUACGAUCUUUUUUUUUUCUUUCUUCCCCUUUCUCGCCUACUGCCCGGUUUAAGUAGAAGUUAGUGAAGUACCGUAGCUCUGAGCUAAAUCGACCACGUCAAAGGGUUGAAUUGAAACAUCGAAAUAGGAAUUAAACACUGACAAACAAGAGACGACUGAGAAGCUGUUGACAUCGCGUGGAACUGCGUAGGACUCCUGAGAAGCUGUUAAUUGCUCUUCCGGUUGUGUAGGCUGGUUUUGUGUGGAGUUCUUCAGUGGAACGUCAUCUGUCCAUAUCUUCAACCCAGUUGCUUUCCAUCUUCUGCCAAGGGAUCGUCAUCCACGUCGCCAUUUCGCCCUGCGAUACUCACCUUGAACUGCCUUAUUUGACAUUCAUGGGGGAAAAGGGUGGAUGAGUUGGAAGCAACCCAAGAGGGGCAGUGGCUCUGGUGGCAGUAGUGAAUGAAGAUCAGGGUCCUGCGGGAGUUCCCUUUGAAACUCACCAUGUGUCUCUCGUCUUCACAAUCAGGUUGUAAUGGCUCACACACUGAUCUACGCGAAGCUUUUUUUUGUAACUUUACAAUAAAAUUGACUGCAUAAUUAUUUUAUUAUU